UACGUAGGUGGCGAGCGUUAUCCGGAAUUACUGGGCGUAAAGCGCACGCAGGCGGUCUUUUAAGUUUGACGUGAAAGCUCCCGGCUUAACUGGGAGAGGUCGUUGAAUACUGGGAGACUUGAGGCAAUGAGAGGGGUGUAGAAUUCCAGGUGUAGUGGUGGAAUGCGUAGAUAUCUGGAGGAAUACCAGUGGCGAAAGCGGCACCCUAGCGUUGUUCUGACGCUCAUGUGCGAAAGCGUGGGGAGCAAACAGG
rnacentral:misc_RNA from 1 species